rnacentral:miRNA from 1 species
UUUGUUGGUGGUCAUUUAACC